CUUUUUACUACGAGGUUUCCAAUUUUUCAGUAAUGUGAAUUCACAUAACUGAAAAAUGGGAUACCUUGUUAAACUCAAAGAAAUAAGAUUUAAUAAAUGAAUAAAAUCACAUUUUGCUUGAUACUUGCAUAUCUUUAUCUAUUUAAGGUGUAGGGGUAUAGUUGAAAGAACAAAUGUGGUUGACCUCAGACAGAAAAUUAGGUUUGACAUUGACUGGUCAAAGAUGACUCUUCCGGUUAAAACACGAAACGGGUAAAAUGUUGUUUUAAUUAUAUUUCUGUUGUAAAGAAAUGCAAAAUUAUAAUUUUUUUUUAUAAUUUUAGGAAACUAAAAACUUGUAGCUGUGAAAUAUGUAAAAUUGCAAGAACGCAGGGAAGAAUACCCAAGAAAAAAUCUGGUAUAAAGAGUUUUAAAACGGCAGUUGUUAGUCCGCGGUGUAGUUUUUGUCUGACUAAAGUUAAAAGAGGAUUGCAUCAUAAAUGCAAUCCAACAACGCUCAGGUAGAAAACGUGUUUAUAACUUUGAAUAUUUAACUUUGAAAGAUUGUAUAACAUGUUCUAUAGAAAACAAUUUCUAUGUAAAUUAUUUUUUCAGAAAUAACAUAUCAGCUGCACCAGGAUAUCAAGAUGUCAAGGAACAAAUGGCUUCCCACGUUAUUAAAGAAAAGCUAUGCAGUGAAAGUGGUAACACCAUUUCAUUGAAGACAGGAGGUAGUAAGCUAAAAUUAUCUAUUGGAUCUGAGAAUACUCCAAAAACAACUAAUUUUACUCACAAAAAUCUUCUUUGUAUACAGAAUUCUCUUUCCUUAAGUAAUCAUCAAAUUAUAAAACUUGCUAAUAUGGUAAGGUAAAAUUACAAUACUAAUACAAAUUCUGCACAAUAAAAUGAUGCAAUACUUGUAGCAAAAUUUAGUAUUAAAAAAAAUUAUUAAUUACAGAGUUGUUGAAAAAAGAAGAAACGCUGUAGAACCUGGACUGAAAGACUGUGUCUCUGAUUUGGAUAGUUAUCUUCUCCCAUUAUUUACUGAAGAAAAUAUUUUAUUUGAAUUUAAAAAUAAAGAUAAAAUUUUGGAAUAUAAAAAUACUACAGUCGCGUACUGCAAUGAUGUUACUCUUUUGUUAAACUACUCCUGGAUCUUAAAUGUGUUGAUUCUAAGAAUCAGUUGUUUAAAAUUGCUGUUGAUGGGGGAAGUUAACAAUUUUUGAAAAUCACGGCAAGUUUGACAUAGAUCACCUUAAAACAAAACCCGUAACAGCUUGCAGGGGUUCAUAUAAAGAUGGUCUAAUAAAGAAAUUCAAAGAUUCGUCAGUAAAUGCUUCAUUUCUUCUUCUGGUAGCUCCAGAGAUCCCAGAAAGAUAUUUUAACAUUAAAAUAUUAUUUGAAAAACUAAAUCUUGAUAAAGUUGAGCACAUUGGGGUAUGCGACAUAAAACUUAGUCAAAUUCUGACAGGUAUAUCUCCAAGUAGCAGUUCGAUUCAUCCCUGCUAUGUAUGUGAGUGGGAUAGAAGAGAAGCUUGGAAAAAUACUCCAUACAGAACCUUUGAGAGCUGUCAAGAAAACUAAACAAAAUUCAAAGAAUCUGGUUCAAAACCUAAGUGUGCACAACAUUUUAAGAAUUAUAUAAACCCUGUAUUAGUACAUGGAAACCCCUCUGAAUUUGUUAUAGAUAGACUUGUUUUACCGGAGCUUCAUAUAAUAGAGGGAACAGUCAAUCAUGUAAUGGAUAACGUGGAGCAGAUUUGGUCGGAAAUGAGUAUGAAGGAGAUUUAUGAACAGUUGCAAAUUAUUAAGACUGGUCAGCAUGGUGGAAAAUUUAAUGGAAAUUCUUCUCGAAAAAUUCUUAAAAAGUGGGAAGUGUUUUAUGAUAAGCUGCCAAUUAAACUAAAGUCUUUUGGAGAAUGCUUAAGGUUUUAAAUUUAGUUGUUGAGUCUUGCUUUGGAUCCGGACUUAAUGAAAACUUUCAAACUAAUAUCGAAAAUUUAAAAGCCUGAUAUAAAGAGUUUAUGUUAGAACAUGGUAUUACUUGAACACCAAAAUUCCAUAUUCCGUUCAAUCAUGUAUCUGAAUUCUGUAAAACAAAAAAAAUGGGCCUUGGAGUUUAUUCGGAGCUAUCUGGAGAAAGUGUUCACUACCUUUUCAAAACUCUCUUGGAACCGCUACAAGGUGUCUGCAAAUAAUUCUAAUUAUGGACAUAAUUUAGUAAGGGCAUUAAGUUCUUAUAAUGGAAAACAUCUUGUUUCUCUUGGAAAUGUUAAUCUAAAUGUUGAUAUUUUUUAGUGAUUCAAUUCGAGAAGUAAUAGUUAGUAAAUUUAUUUUGUAAAUAUAUGUUCGUUUGAUGA